UGUUUGCUCUGAGAUAUGUGACAUGAAAAUACAUGAUCCAGUGUUGCAGCAUGAAAGCAGGACCAUGUGACAAGUUUUGCGCUUGAGUGGGUGUGUGGCAUGGAAGGAGAACCCUAAGCCUGCAGCUGGAAGUGGACAUUAAGCAAAUAUCAAGUUGUUGACGCUGUUGUUUCAAAAUUGACCAGAACUGGCCAUACAGUGCACAGGGUUCCUGCUGUUACAGCCAGAAUCCGGUAUCCGUGGCCCCAACUGGGGACUCCUUUAGCUGCUCCUCUUCCCUCGCUCCCACUCAGCUCGCUCUGAAGUCUUGGGAUGACUACGCCAACAAACUUCUGCCACUAGAUGGAGGCUGGUCAAUCCGAAACAAGCAAGUGUGUCAGUGCCGACACCAGGUGGGUACCCAAUAUCAUCGAAGCAGAGUCACCCUCAAAUGCUUCCAAGCAAGGCAGCGACAGCCAACAGCCUGUACACCCCAACUGAUGGCAAGCUUUCCUCCUCCACCCCCUUCGCAUUCAGGGCCUAAGCACAGAGGAUGAGACAAAAGAAAUGAAGAGGAUGAGUAACUAUCUUGGAUAAAAUACAAGACCCCAACAAAAAGCGAUUGCACAAAAUGAACUGGGUGGAAAAUAUGUAAAUUUUGUAAA